AUCAGAACCAAUGAUAAUAAAGCAAUGUUAAUUUUGAUAUUUGGUAUAUUAGUAUAUAUAAUGAAUUAUGAUCAAUAACAUUAGUUAUGUUUAUCUAACUGGAUGUCUGUCUUCUCUUUUGGGAAAAGGGGGUGACAAUGUAUGACAUUAAAUUUGUAUGCGUUUUUAUUAUAAAAAAAAUUAGGGUUCAUUUUUAUUUUCAACAAUAUUGUCUGGUUAAUGAUAUUCAUGUUUUCUUGUUGUUAUUCAAUUUUUAGUAAAAGUUAAAGUGGAAAGGGGAAAUUGUAAAUAUAUAUAUUAUUGUUAGACACAUUUGCAAGG
rnacentral:lncRNA from 1 species